AUAUAUAUAGAGACAGAGAUAAUGGAUCAUUUGCUUACUGGCUAGAUAAUAAGUUGUUUAAUAGAGAGAGAGGGAGUCCGCCUAUUAUACUAUUGAUAGUAUCAGAGUUAGGUACUAUCGAUGGAGUUUUUCACUAUUAGAUUUAUCUUUUUGAUCAUUUUCAUUUGUUAAAUUAUACUAUUCAACCAACCGUCUACUCUCAACCCUAGGAGACCAUCGCUACAAUAGAAUUAUAUUAUAGGAAUAUAUUUUUGGGACACUUUUAUAUAAGUGUGGACACUUUUAUAUAAGUGUCCUAUUUAUGCCAAUAAAUUUUUAAAAAUCUACUAAAAUCUAAAUAUAAAGUUCAAUCCAAUCAAAAAUAAAAAGUUUCUCUACUCAGCCAACCACACCCAGCCCACUCAGCCCGAUUACAAAUAAAAAAGAAAAGAAAAAAGAAAGAUCGAUCAUUAUCUCUCCUUCUCCUCCUCCGCCGCCGCAGCUGACGAGAUAGGUUUAUGGCGGCUGGAGUUUAGCUGCGAGGAUCUCGCAGGGACCGUAAAGUGCUACAAUUACCACGUAUCUCUCCGCCACAUGUCGUUGGAGGAGUGUGUGCCAAAUAUUAAGGCGGACCUAUCUAUAGCAACCUCAUAUAUAGCAAUACUUUUAAAAAGUGUCGGUAAGUUAGCUAGCAGCACUUUUUUUUGACCUGUACCGACAUUUAAAAGUGUCGUUAUAUACCGUUUUUGUUGUAUCGACAUUUUAUUUAAUUGUAAUUAUUUAAUUUUUUAGGAAAAAAUUAAAAGAAUAUAUAUAUAAACAUUAUAAAUUAUUUAUUAUUUAGAGUUACUAUUUAAGAGCUGAGAAACUCGAACCCUCAUUAUCAAAAAAAAAUUUUAAAAAAAAGUUUCUCGGGUAAUAUUAAUUAUCAGUUAAUCUCUAGUAGAGUUAAAGACUACUUUUUUUAAAAAAAAAAAUUUAUGUUAGAAAUAUAACUUAUCAAAAUAAAUAAUUGCGGCGCAUUAAUUGUACGGAUACACCUGGUGCAGGGAAUAACUUCGCCUCCCAUCAUUCCACCAAAAAUGGGUACGAUUGAGACAUAAUCACGUGGCUCCAUGGACCGCGGAUUCCCCUCGUUCUUAUCCACACCACAAACCCAGUUUUUUUCUUUUUUUUUUCCAUCGUUCGUUUGGUGGGAAACAGCGACGGGACGUUGCUUGGAUGCGUGACACGUGUAAUCUCCAGUGGAGUGGAUGUACUACAGUUGUGGUCGUAAAUUGCUUGGUGUUGCAAAAAGCACUUCGUAAUUAAUGAAGCAAACGUCAAAAAUAAGCUAAAAUGUUUACAAUGAUUGAAGUAGGGCUCAAUUUCAUAUAGGUCCAAACAAAUAUAGUAAAUUACAAACAUCUCCCUAUAAAGUUUAACUUUUAUGUGUUGUUUUUAUAAAAAUCUUAAUAUUUUCAAAUAUGUCUCCGUGAUUUGUUAUCGUUAAAACACUGUUUAUUUUAUAAGUAAAAUGACUUUUUUGCCAUCACAAAUAUGUUCCUUCAAAAAUCCCAACAUUAAUUGAAAAGAGGUUAAAGGUCAAUUCAUCUCAUUAAUUAACUAGGGUUAAGUAUUUUACCUAUGGUUAAUUAAUUUUUUCUAACGGAUUCUAACGGUAGGGGUAUAUUUGAAAAUAUUGAGAUUUUUACAAGAACAACAUAUAAGAGUUGAAUUUUGUAAGAAUAUUUUUAUAAUUUAUUAUUGUUGUAGAGACUUGUAUGCAAUUAAUCCUUUUAAUAAUUAAAUUUUAGAUUUUUUUUCCGUUGUUUAUUUGUAUAAUAAUUAUGAAACUAUAUAGUUUCUUCAAUUUUAAGUGAAUAAUGUAAAAACUGUCCAUCAUUAAAAAUCUAAUUUAAAUUCAUUUUGAUUAAUUAUUAUAAUAAAAUCAAGUAUUGUUUGAACAUUUGUAUUGAAUUGGUGUCUAC
rnacentral:lncRNA from 1 species